UACAGAGGUCCCAAGCGUUGUCCGGAAUUACUGGGCGUAAAGCGUGCGUAGGUGGUUCGUUAAGUCUGAUGUGAAAGCCCUGGGCUCAACCUGGGAAUGGCAUUGGAUACUGGCGGGCUAGAGUGCGGUAGAGGGCAGUGGAAUUCCCGGUGUAGCAGUGAAAUGCGUAGAGAUCGGGAGGAACAUCUGUGGCGAAGGCGACUGCCUGGACCAGCACUGACACUGAGGCACGAAAGCGUGGGGAGCAAACAGG
rnacentral:rRNA from 1 species